rnacentral:rRNA from 1 species
CCUACGGGUGGCAGCAGUGGGGAAUAUUGCGCAAUGGGCGAAAGCCUGACGCAGCGACGCCGCGUGAGGGAUGAAGGUCUUCGGAUCGUAAACCUCUGUCAGCAGGGAAGAACGGUCACUGUGCUAAUCAGCAGUGAAUUGACGGUACCUGCAAAGGAAGCACCGGCUAACUCCGGGCCAGCAGCCGCGGGAAUACGGAGGGUGCGCGCGUGAAUCGGAAUGACUGGGCGUAAGGCGAUCGUAGGCGGUAUGUCAAGUCAAGGGUGAAAUCCCCGCGCUCAACGUGGGAACUGCCUGUGAAACUGGCAAACUGGAGUGUGUGAGAGGAAAGUGGAAUUCCAGGUGUAGGGGUGAAAUCCGUAGAUAUCUGGAGGAACAUCAGUGGCGAAGGCGACUAUCUGGCACAUAACUGACGCUGAGGAGCGAAAGCGUGGGUAGCAAACAGGAUUAGAUACCCUUGUAGUC